rnacentral:rRNA from 1 species
UCGGGAAUUUUGGGCAAUGGGCGAAAGCCUGACCCAGCAACGCCGCGUGAAGGAUGAAGUAUUUCGGUAUGUAAACUUCGAAAGAAUGGGAAGAAUAAAUGACGGUACCAUUUAUAAGGUCCGGCUAACUACGUGCCAGCAGCCGCGGUAAUACGUAGGGACCAAGCGUUGUUCGGAUUUACUGGGCGUAAAGGGCGCGUAGGCGGCUUGACAAGUCACUUGUGAAAUCUCCGGGCUUAACUCGGAACGGCCAAGUGAAACUGUCAUGCUAGAGUGCAGAAGGGGCAAUCGGAAUUCUUGGUGUAGCGGUGAAAUGCGUAGAUAUCAAGAGGAACACCUGAGGUGAAGACGGGUUGCUGGGCUGACACUGACGCUGAGGCGCGAAAGCCAGGGGAGCAAACGGGAUUAGAUACCCAAGUAGUCCCUGAGCGGGCUGGCAAGGCGCAU